rnacentral:lncRNA from 1 species
AUGUUGAGAAGAAAUCCUAAACUGAUUCCAACAACUAAGAAAGGUGGACUAGCUACUCCUUCAUGGACAGACAGUGAAUUCAAAUCAUUGUUAGGACAGCACAUGGACUCAAUGGUGACAGAGUCAGUCAGAUUGGAUUUGAUAAAGAAAUUUGGUAUUGAUCCAGAAAAAGUAUGGUCAAUUGAAGAAUGUAAAAAGGUACUAGGAUCAUGUAUUCGCAAAAACAAUGCGAAAGGCAUUAUCUGCUGCCACAGAGAAUUUGGUUUAGCACUAGCUACGCAACACUCUCAGCGUACCUCAGAACUAGAGGAACAGAUCAAAGAGCUCAGAGCCAGAGUAUCCUCUUUGACUAAGAAACUGAAUCGCAACAAAGCUGCAGCAAAAACUGAUGUGGAAGAAGUUAGUCAGACUGAUAACAAUUAUCCUGAUUUACAAGCUUUCUUUGAAACAGAUGUAGCCAUCCAGUCAGUAACUGAUGUAACUGUAGAUUCAGUAAAGGUAUGUGGUGCGAGGAGAAGAUCUCAGAUGAUUGAAGGAACUGAAAGUGUUCCUGCCAACUCUUCUGUUGUCCAAGUACAAACUGUUGCCACAGGGCUAAGACCUAAAGAUAUAGAGAGACUAUCCCAGAGCUUACCCCCUGUACGCACAAAUUUUACUGAAUUCAGAAGAGCAUUGAUCAGCAAAAUGCGUCUCUAUGACAUGUCGUUAGCAGAAGUCACACAGCUGAUGACACAAAUUCUAACUGAAUCUGAAUUCAACAGUUUUGAGUCUGCUGUUACUUCUGAACUACAACAUGCCAGUAAAGAUGAAUUGAGAGAGGGAGUUCUGAGAGAGUUAAAGAAUAUUGUUGGACCAAAAGUGGAUUGGUCAAAGGUCACUAGUUGUGUACAGAAGGAGACUGAAACUGUGAGUGAAUACACUGAAAGAUUUUGUCAGUCAGCAGUAACUUACAGUGGAAUAAUUGAUGAUUCUGAAAGUGUGUUAGAGGACAAGGGACCAUUAGUUCGCAUCUGGUCAGAUGGCCUUGUAGCUGAGUACAGAAAAGCUUUGCCAUUCUUAGAUCUAACUUGGUCUAACAAAACUCUCCGAAGUAAUCUAGACAGUUUAGCUACUUGGGAAAGAAACUCUGAUGUCAAAGCCAGAGUAAAGAUUGCAGCAGCAUCUUUUCAGGUCAAAACAGAGAACCGACCAAAACAUAGAAGUCCUAAGAAAGAGGGUAGUUGUCAUUUUUGUGGUAAACCUGGACACUGGAUGAAAGAGUGUAGAAAAAGCAAGAAGACAUUAAGAGAAAUGAACAGCUUUACUCAGCUCCUACUCAGUCUACUUACCACUCUGAAUCUGCCCCUCCCCACGUCACCUAACUGUUGGAGCAGCUUGCUCAGGUGUUAA